CUCUCUUCCACUAUUUGCAGAUUGUGCAUGGCAGCAACAGGGCUGUAAUCCAACCAAAGGGAGGCCUUCGGAGCGAGAAACACAAUUUGGGACUUCAAUAAGAGGAGAGCUUUGCGGUGUUUGGUUUUUGAAGUAAUAUUAAGUGCUGUUAGGUCGCGGUCCAUGAUUUAGAUGGUUUCUUUGAGGAAUGUUGACAGUGUUCUCAUCCAGCCUAUCUAAUCGUGAGUACUUUGUAGGAAAAACUGUUUUGUUGCUUUAUUUUUCCUACCCCCAGAAGGCUGCUUUUUCAUUUCUUUUUUCCUCUUAUGGAACAUUUCCAGGUUUGAAAGUCGGCCUUGUGAAUGUUGUCUUUCAGAAAGCAUUGGGCUCUGUCAUGCUGGGCUUUGCUCAGAUGAGAGUUUGGGGUAAGAGAUGAGGAAGGAGGAGGACAACUGGAACGUAGGUACAAUGUUCUGGGUGUGAUGGCAACACGGAGUGUGGGAGGAGUCAGAUGGAAAGGAUAAGUGGCAGGCUGGCCCGUGAGAUGGGGGGGAUCGGGCAGGAAAGGAUCCUAAAAGGACAGACGCAAGCAUGUCUGCUAACCUGGAUUUAAUCUGCUUUCGCAACUGUUCUUUUGGCUUUAUAGUAGCACAAGCAGCCGAAGAUCUCCUGUUGGAGUCAGUGCUUUCCCAAAGGGAUCCCAUCUUCCUGUCAUUCAGGCUUCCUGUGAGAGGCCCUGGCGUGCCCAGUGUACUCACCUCUCUGAGCACUGGCACUGUGCAUGUUACUGAGGAUGAUUGUUCUUGGGAAGAAUCCAGUCUGCAGU
ensembl:lncRNA